CUUCUACUCCCUCCGUUCCAAAAUACUUGACUUUCAUUUGUCCAAAAAUGGAUGUACCUAUAUACUAAAACAUGUCUAGAUACAUCUAUAUUUUGACAAAUGAAAGGCAUGUAUUGUGGAACGGAGGGAGUACAUG
rnacentral:pre_miRNA from 1 species